rnacentral:rRNA from 1 species
UUGAGGACACACCCGUUCCCAUCCCGAACACGAUGGUUAAGACCAAGACGGCCGAUGGUACUAUAUUGGAGACGAUAUGGGAGAGUAGGUGGCUGCCA